rnacentral:lncRNA from 1 species
AAUUUUUAUGCCCCACCUACGAUAGUAGAGGGGCAUUAUGUUUUCUGGUCUGUGCGUCCGUUCGUCCGUCCGUUCGUCCGUCUGUUCGUUCGUCCGUCCGUCUGUUCGUUCGUCCGUCUGUCCCGCUUCAGGUUAAAGUUUUUGGUCAAGGUAGUUUUUGAUGAAGUUGAAGUUCAAUCAACUUGAAACUUAGUACACAUGUUCCUUAUGAUAUGAUCUUUCUAAUUUUAAAGCCAAAUUAAACUUUUGACCCCAAUUUCACGGUCCACUGAACAUAGAAAAUGAAAGUGCAUGUUUCAGGUUAAAGUUUUUGGUCAAGGUAGUUUUUAAUGAAGUUGAAGUCCAAUCAACUUGAAACUUAGUACACAUGUUCCUUAUGAUAUGAUCUUUCUAAUUUUAAAGCGAAAUUAAACUUUUGACCCCAAUUUCAUGGUCCACUGAACAUAGAAAAUGAAAGUGCAUGUUUCAGGUUAAAGUUUUUGGUCAAGGUAGUUUUUGAUGAAGUUGAAGUCCAAUCAACUUGAAACUUAGUACACAUGUUCUCUAUGAUAUUAUCUUUCUAAUUUUAAUGCCUAAUUAUAUUUUUUUUCCAAUUUCGUGGUCCAUUGAACAUGGAAAAUGAUAGUGCGAGUGGGGC